rnacentral:rRNA from 1 species
ACGACGCUGGCGGCGUGGAUUAGGCAUGCAAGUCGAACGGUAGGGUCCUUCGGGGACCUGAGAGUGGCGAACGGGUGAGUAACACGUAGGUAAUCUACCCUCAAAUCGGGGGACAAACCCCAGGGAAAACUUGGGCUAAUACCGGAUGAGUGCGCUUUCGGGUGCAUAAAAGGUGGCGUAAGCUGCUGUUUGGGGAUGAGCCUGCGCUCUAUUAGUUAGUUGGUGAGGUAACGGCUUACCAAGGCGAUGAUAGAUAGGCGGCCUUAACGGGUGGUCGCCCACACUGGGAUUGAGAUACGGCCCAGACUCCUACGGGAGGCAGCAGUCGAGAAUAGUCUACAAUGGACGAAAGUCUGAUAGUGCGACGCCGCGUGAACGAAGAAGCCCUUCGGGGUGUAAAGUUCUUUUAUAUGUGAGCAAUGCUUCCUAGGUGAAUAGUUUAGGGAGAGAGAUAUUAGCAUAUGAAUAAGCAACGGCUAACUCCGUG